GGGCCCGCACAAGCGGUGGAGCAUGUGGCUUAAUUCGAGGCAACGCGAAGAACCUUACCUGGUCUUGACAUGCCCGUCAUAGUUUUCCGAAAGGAAUUCGUCAGUUCGGCUGGACGGUGCACAGGUGCUGCAUGGCUGUCGUCAGCUCGUGUCGUGAGAUGUUCGGUUAAGUCCGGCAACGAGCGCAACCCUCGUUCCUAGUUGCCAGCGGGUAAUGCCGGGGACUCUAGGAAGACAAACCUCGAGUAGAGGUGGGAAGGUGGGGACGACGUCAAGUCAGUAUGGCCCUUACGACCAGGGCUGCACACGUGCUACAAUGCUCGGUACAAUGGGACGCAAUACCGCGAGGUUGAGCAAAUCCACAAAACCGAGCCCAGUUCGGAUUGGAGUCUGCAACUCGACUCCAUGAAGUUGGAAUCGCUAGUAAUGG
rnacentral:rRNA from 1 species